rnacentral:rRNA from 1 species
AAGGCUUCAGUACGACCCAGUCAGAACUAUAAGUCUCAAAGCCCCGACGAGUAGGGUGGCGUGCCGGUGCGCGUUGAAGGCCAAGACGUGAGUCAGGCUGGAGCCGCCGGUAGUGCAGAUCUUGGUGGUAGUAGCAAGUACUCUGGUGAACCAACCUGGAGCUGUGAGGUUUGGAUUAGGGUUCCAUGUCAACAGUGAUUGAACAUGGGUGAGUCGAUCCUAAGCCAGCUGUGAAUGCAGUGACAUCCCGACAACGGGGACGCCGCGUACAUGCCCCGGCACUUACACCCCCACACCAAAGCUCUCGUGUAUCUCUCUCUCAAACUGUCUGUGACGAAAAGGUGUCUGGUACGGAAUAAUGCGCACACACACAGUGAUCGCUAGCAGUGUGAGUGUGUGUGCGCUUCUCUGGUUACGCUCAUAAGCGUUGUCGAACUCUCUGUAGGAAAAGGCUGAAAGUCGCGCACACACGGUGAUCGCUAAGGAGUGUGAGUGUGUGCGCGCUCGCACGAAGUGCAUAAAACCAGAGAGAGAGAGAAAGAGAGUGGGUGAGCGUGAGUUUGCUCUUGCAUGAGUCCCCUGCGUAUGGUUCUAUGUCCGGCGAAAGGGAAUGGGGACUUUGUUCCUUGACCGGUCCCGGCACCCUCGAUUGGCUUUUGCCAAUCAAUGGUCCAUGCAAAUGGAACCAGGCCACAGCCGUCGGCAGUCGCCCGANGAAGAGUUUUCUUUUCUGCUUAACGCACGAGGUCAUCCCUGGAAACAGUUCGGCUGGCGAAAGGGUGCCCCCGUUGCGGCAGAGCGCCACGACUGUCGUGCGCGUCUCGGUGUUCCUGCUGAUCCGUGAAAACGUGGUCGAGGGGAAUGCUCUUGUAUCAACGAAACGUCCGACAAGUUCGGGACAGACCGUACCCUAUAUCCGCAUCUGGUCUCCAAGGUUCGUAGCCUCUGCAGAGUCAGACACAUGUAGGUAAGGGAAGUCGGCAAACUCGAUCCGUAACUUCGGGAAAAGGAUUGGCUCUGAGGGCCGAGCUGGGCCGGGCCUUGCCUGCAAAGCAGUACCUAUAGUGACCGGAGUUUCAGGAGUGCGAGGGGCUCUAGUAGCUGCUUGCGCGUGUGUGUGCGUUCGCGCGUGCGCGCGCGUGUGGGCACGAACGAGUCCACCGCUCCGCUCCAACCACGAACGGCUGUGACGGCAAGGGCUCUGGGCGGGAGCGAUCUAUCCGUUGGCCCCCAGCGCGUCUGGGUGGCGGCGGUGCUCCGUCUGACCCAUACGGCUCCAGCGGCUAGCGGCUAACUCAGAACUGUCAUGGACCAAGGGAAUCCGACUGUCUAAUUAAAACAAAGCGUCGUGACGGCCCCUGUUGGGUGAUGACGCGACGUGAUUUCUGCCCAGUGCUCUAA